rnacentral:tRNA from 1 species
UCCCUGGUGGUCCAGUGGUUAAGAUUCUGCACUCACAAUGCAGGGGGCCCAGGUUCGAUCCCUUGUAAGGGAA